CUUAAUCAAAUAGAACUAUAAUUUUAGUAUUCUUUGUCAAUAACGUUAUAACUAUUUUGACAUGUUACUGUACAAGAACCAAAAUAACAAUAGAUUGAAAAAAAUCUCAAACUAUUAAUGUUACUGUACUUCUUUAUUUUAUUUUUUAUCUUCCCUUAUCUUAAAUUUCUUCCCCCAAUUACAAAUUAUUAAAAUAAAACCUAAUCCAAAUUUCUAUUUGAUGAACUUAAAGUCAUUUAUUAAGUUUCUAAACAUGGACCAAGAGUUUGGUGUGAUGUUGAUGUUGUGGAGUUGUCCAAUAAUGGCGCACCUGCACAAACUUCCAAAGAACAAUUAAUGGAGAAGCGAUUCAUGCUUGGCUCUAAUUCUCAGGUUCUUUUGCUCAUCAAUUUCUACUGUGUGUUGUAUUUUUUGUAUACCAAGAUUUUUAUCAUCUUGCUAUAAGGGUCAAAAAAUUUGGUACUUGAUGAUUUUGCUAUGUCUCACGGUUGAGAGUGUUGACGACAUGAAGGAAGGGAGUAACACCAAUUGUUUGAUGUGUUUUAGGGUUUGUUUUUUGGGAUUAGAUUUUAUUUAGAUAAUCUGGACUUUUAAGAAAUUGGAGGAAGAAAUUUAGGAUUAAGGAAGUUGAAAAACAAAUGAAG
rnacentral:lncRNA from 1 species